rnacentral:vault_RNA from 1 species
GCGCGGGUUUAGCUCAGUGGUUAUGACAAAGCCUAGACAAGCCUAGACGAACCACGGGCGCUGUCCAGCGUAUGC